GCAAGAACCCAGUUCUCUCCACCUGGGAUUAAUUGUAACAUCUGUCAGAAUGCCUCUGUACUAGUAAUGGGACCCUGAUCUCCGCAGUCACCCUCCCAUUUUAAAAAGCUGAUGCAAGACCACCCAACUAGAAGCCUUAUUUUCCCGCCUCCCUUGAACCAGCCCUGAGUCAUAUGACUAAGUCCAGAGCAAUGAGGUGUGAGCAGAAGUGAUGUGCAUACAUUCUGUGUCAAUUCCUU